rnacentral:misc_RNA from 1 species
GAUGAAGAACCGCAGCGAAAUGCGAUAAGUAAUGUGAAUUGCAGAACUCAGUGAGUCAUCGAAUCUUUGAACGCACAUUGCGCCCUGUGGUAUUCCGCAGGGCAUGCCUGUUCGAGCGUCAUUUCAACCCUCAAGCCCCGCUUGGUGUUGGGCCCCGCCCGCCGUGGCCGGCCCUAAAGACAGUGGCGGCGCCGCCUGGCCCUCAGCGUAGUACAGCUCUCGCUCCAGGGUCCGGCGGCCGCCUGCCAGAACCCCCCCAACUCUGUGGUUGACCUCGGAUCAGGUAGGGAUACCCGCUGAACUUAAGCAUAUCAAUAAGCGGAGGA